rnacentral:rRNA from 1 species
AACGAACGCUGGCGGCAUGCCUAACACAUGCAAGUCGAACGAGACAUUCGGGUCUAGUGGCGCACGGGUGCGUAACGCGUGGGAACCUGCCCUUAGGUUCGGAAUAACUCCCCGAAAGGGGUGCUAAUACCGGAUAAUGUCUUCGGACCAAAGAUUUAUCGCCUUUGGAUGGGCCCGCGUUGGAUUAGCUAGUUGGUAGGGUAAAAGCCUACCAAGGCGACGAUCCAUAGCUGGUCUGAGAGGAUGAUCAGCCACACUGGGACUGAGACACGGCCCAGACUCCUACGGGAGGCAGCAGUGGGGAAUAUUGGACAAUGGGCGAAAGCCUGAUCCAGCAAUGCCGCGUGAGUGAUGAAGGCCUUAGGGUUGUAAAGCUCUUUUACCCGGGAUGAUAAUGACAGUACCGGGAGAAUAAGCGCCGGCUAACUCCGUG